AUCUAGCUGAUGAAUUCCAAGUAGGAUGAAACGCGCAUCCUACAU
rfam:Schistosoma haematobium scaffold2919_1, whole genome shotgun sequence.